CCUACGGGAGGCAGCAGUGGGGAAUUUUGGACAAUGGGCGCAAGCCUGAUCCAGCAAUGCCGCGUGCAGGAUGAAGGCCUUCGGGUUGUAAACUGCUUUUGUACGGAACGAAACGGUCCUUUCUAAUAUAAGGGGCUAAUGACGGUACCGUAAGAAUAAGCACCGGCUAACUACGUGCCAGCAGCCGCGGUAAUACGUAGGGUGCGAGCGUUAAUCGGAAUUACUGGGCGUAAAGCGUGCGCAGGCGGUUAUAUAAGACAGAUGUGAAAUCCCCGGGCUCAACCUGGGACCUGCAUUUGUGACUGUAUAGCUAGAGUACGGUAGAGGGGGAUGGAAUUCCGCGUGUAGCAGUGAAAUGCGUAGAUAUGCGGAGGAACACCGAUGGCGAAGGCAAUCCCCUGGACCUGUACUGACGCUCAUGCACGAAAGCGUGGGGAGCAAACAGGAUUAGAUACCCUGGUAGUCCACGCCCUAAACGAUGUCAACUGGUUGUUGGGUCUUCACUGACUCAGUAACGAAGCUAACGCGUGAAGUUGACCGCCUGGGGAGUACGGCCGCAAGGUUGAAAACUCGAAAAGAGAGUUAGACGACGUGAGACGAGACGACGACGACGACGAGGGAGGAGG
rnacentral:rRNA from 1 species